rnacentral:rRNA from 1 species
AUUGAACGCUGGCGGCAGGCCUAACACAUGCAAGUCGAACGGUAACAGGAAACAGCUUGCUGUUUCGCUGACGAAUGGCGGACGGGUGAGUAAUGUCUGGGAAACUGCCUGAUGGAGGGAGAUAACUACUGGAAACGGUAGCUAAUACCGCAUAACGUCGCAAGACCAAAGAGGGGGACCUUCGGGCCUCUUGCCAUCGGAUGUGCCCAGAUGGGAUUAGCUAGUAGGUGGGGUAACGGCUCACCUAGGCGACGAUCCCUAGCUGGUCUGAGAGGAUGACCAGCCACACUGGAACUGAGACACGGUCCAGACUCCUACGGGAGGCAGCAGUGGGGAAUAUUGCACAAUGGGCGCAAGCCUGAUGCAGCCAUGUCGCGUGUAUGAAGAAGGCCUUCGGGUUGUAAAGUACUUUCAGCGGGGAGGAAGGGAGUAAAGUUAAUACCUUUGCUCAUUGACGUUACCCGCAGAAGAAGCACCGGCUAACUCCGUGCCAGCCGCCGCGGUAA